AUGCAGAGCAUGGGAACCACCUUCUACACGAGCGGGCUCGGCGUCGGAAACUUCCUCAACAGCCUGCUUGUGACGUUUGUCGACCGGGCUACCAGGGCGAGCGCCGGCAAGAGCUGGAUCGGUGACAACCUGAACGACUCGCACCUCGACUACUACUACGUGUUGCUGCUGCUACUCUCCGUGGUGAACAUGGCGCUCUUUAUGUGUAACUAA
rnacentral:rRNA from 1 species